AAGUCUUGGCUUAAGUAUUCACCUCGAUCGAAUCGAAGGGCUUUUAUGCUUUUGCCAAAUUGGUUUUGAACUUCAUUCUUGAAUUCCUUGAACUUUUCAAAGGAUUUGGAUUUGUGUCUCAUAAGAUACACAUAUCCAUAUCUACUGAAGUCGUCAGUAAAUGUAAAAAAGUAAUAAAACCUACCGCUUGCUAUCGAACUCAUGGGUCCACAUACAUCACUAUAUAUAAGUCCCA
rnacentral:lncRNA from 1 species